rnacentral:rRNA from 1 species
GACGAACCGUACGAACGUUAUUCGGAAUCACUGGGCUUAAAGGGUGCGUAGGCUGCGCAGCAAGUUGGGUGUGAAAUCCCUCGGCUUAACCGAGGAACUGCGCCCAAAACUGCUGUGCUCGAGGGAGAUAGAGGUGAGCGGAACUUAGGGUGGAGCGGUGAAAUGCGUUGAUAUCCUAAGGAACACCGGUGGCGAAAGCGGCUCACUGGAUCUCUUCUGACGCUGAGGCACGAAAGCUAGGGUAGCGAACCGGG